AGGAGGUAGAGAAGGGAUCAGAGACGGGUGUAUAGAGGAGGAAUAAAGAGAGGAGGUAGAGAAAAUAUUAAAGAAGGGUGUGUGAAAUGGAGAGAUAAAAAGAGGAGGUAGAGAAGGGUGUGUAGAGGGGGGAACAAAGAGAGGAAGUAGAGAAGGGAUCAGAGAAGGGUGUGUAGAGGAGGAAUAAAGAGAGGAGGUAGAGAAGGGAUCAGAGACGGGUGUAUAGAGGAGGUAGAGAAGGGAUCAGAGAAGGGUGUGUAGAGGAGGAAUAACGAGAGGAGGUAGAGAAGGGAUCAGAGAAGGGUGUGUAGAGGAGGAAUAAAGAGAGGAGGUAGAGAAGGGAUCAGAGACGGGUGUAUAGAGGAGGUAGAGAAGGGAUCAGAGAAGGGUGUGUAGAGGAGGAAUAAAGAGAGGAGGUAGAUAAAAUAUUAAAGAAGGGUGUGUGCAAUGGAGGGAUAAAGAGAGGAGGUAGAGAAGGGUGUGUAGAGGGAGGAAUAAAAAGAGGAGGUAGAGAGAUUAGAAAAGGGUGUGUUAAAUGUAAGAAUAGAGAGAAGAGAUGAAGAGAGGGUAGAAAUUGGUGUAUAAAAAGGUCGCAGUUUCAGAGAGGAGUGUAUUAAAGAGAGGAAUAAAAAAAGGAGGUAGAGAGAAGAUUAAAGAGAGUGUGUAAAAUGUAGGGAUAAAAGAGGUGAGGUGAGGAUAGAAAUUAGCACUUAAAACAGUCGCAGUUACUCCCCUCUGUUUGGUUCUUAGGUUGGUAUCUCAGACGCUUCCGCCUCUCACACCAACUACCUCCAAAGGCCAAAAAGGAGAUGAAUCGGGUCCUCAUUAGUGUAAUUUUAAGGUUCAUGGUACAGACGAAGAGCCAAACUGCCACCAGGGUCACAAAACUACCACUGGAAAUGGCCACAACUCCUACGCUUCCAUCCCUCACACCAUCUUUCCAAAGGCCAAAAAGGAGAUCAAUCGUGUCCUCAUGAGUGUAAUAUUUAGGUUCAUGGUACAGACGAAGAGCUAAACUACCAACAGGCCCACAAAACUACCACUGGAAAGGCCCACAGCUCCUAUGAAAGCCUUGUCAAAUGUGUAUGCUUGGGAGACGAAGUGUUUAACCCCUUGGAUGUGGAUUUCCUACAAGAAGACAUCACCAAGCUACAGGAGUGGAACAAAAAGUGGCUGCUCCAAUUUAGUGAAGAAAAAUGUGAAGUUAUGCAUCUUGGGAGGGGAAAUCCAGCAUACCAAUACCACAUGGGAAACACUCCACUUCCUACCAUAGAGGGACAGAAAGACCUCGGAGCAUAUGUUACCAGGCUACCAGUGAAGACGAAAUCAGCAUGCCAAUCGCAGCGGACGGGUUAAAAAUAUGUCCCUUGGUGGUACAUUCCCCCACUGAUAAACUCCCGCACGAGUGACAUCUUUCGGCACCCUUGUUUAAGCUGGCGUCUGUUUUUGUUUCUCCACCCGAAAUUGACCUCUCUUUCGGCCACUCAUCUGUACCCUCUUUUAUAUGGGCAGUGAUCAGCAGGCUUUUUUUUCCUCUCAGUUAUUUUCUUGCCCUUGAGCUGCUUCCUUUACUAUAAAAAAAAUCCGCCCCCCUAACAAGAAUAUUUACUUGUAUGGUGAAUGACGGAAUGGCUGGUGUUAUUAAAGUUUAGUAUUAUAUCGAUUUAUGCUCACAUUUAAUUUGUUUCUGCUUUAUUUUGUAUGUUUGUUUAUUUGAGUAUUUUCAGACAUGUAUUAGCCUCCCCUCUUCUAUAAUUUUCUGUAAUACGUUCUCUUUUACGCUUUCUAGUUUUGACUCCCUUGACAAAUCGUAAAUUUAUAUCAUUCCUCUUACUCGUUGUUUAUUCAUUUUGUUUGUUUACUUGUCUCUUUGAAGAUGU